rnacentral:rRNA from 1 species
GUCUAGCCUGCCCAUGAAAAUUAAAUGGCCGCAGUAAAUUGACUGUGCAAAGGUAGCAUAAUCAUUAGUUUUUUAAUUAAAAGCUUGUAUGAAGGGUUGAACGAGGUAAAUUCUGUCUCUAUUUAAUUUAAAUUAGAAUUUAAUUUUUAAGUUAAAAAGCUUAAAUAUUUGUAAAAGACGAGAAGACCCUAUAGAGCUUUAUAAUUUUUAUAUUAUAAUAAUUUAAGUUUUUUUAAAGUUUUAUUAUAAAAGUUAUUUUAUUGGGGUAAUAGAAAGAUUAAAAUAAUUCUUUUUUAUUAUUUACAUAAAUAAAUGAAUUUAAUGAUCCAUUUUUAAUGAUUAUAAGAUUAAGUUACCUUAGGGAUAACAGCGUAAUUUUUUUAAAGAGUUCAUAUCGAUAAAAAAGUUUGCGACCUCGAUGUUGGAUUAAAGAUUAGUUUAGGUGUAGAAGUUUAAAUUUUUGGUCUGUUCGACCAUUAAAUCUUUACGUGAUCU